GACUCAUUAGUGUAGUUGGUUAUCACUACGGGUUCUGAUUCCGUCAACCUAGGUUCGAAUCCUAGAUGAGUUG
rnacentral:tRNA from 1 species